rnacentral:rRNA from 1 species
GAUGAACGCUGGCGGCGUGCCUAAUACAUGCAAGUCGAGCGAACGGACGAGAAGCUUGCUUUUCUGAUGUUAGCGGCGGACGGGUGAGUAACACGUGGAUAACCUACCUAUAAGACUGGGAUAACUUCGGGAAACCGGAGCUAAUACCGGAUAAUAUUUUGAACCGCAUGGUUCAAAAGUGAAAGACAGUCUUGCUGUCACUUAUAGAUGGAUCCGCGCUGCAUUAGCUAGUUGGUAAGGUAACGGCUUACCAAGGCAACGAUGCAUAGCCGACCUGAGAGGGUGAUCGGCCACACUGGAACUGAGACACGGUCCAGACUCCUACGGGAGGCAGCAGUAGGGAAUCUUCCGCAAUGGGCGAAGGCCUGACGGAGCAACGCCGCGUGAGUGAUGAAGGUCUUCGGAUCGUAAAACUCUGUUAUUAGGGAAGAACAUAUGUGUAAGUAACUGUGCACAUCUUGACGGUACCUAAUCAGAAAGCCACGGCUAACUACGUG